CGAACGCUGGCGGCGUGCUUAACACAUGCAAAUCGAACGGAAAGGCCCUGCUUUUGUGGGGUGCUCGAGUGGCGAACGGGUGAGUAACACGUGAGUAACCUGCCCUUGACUUUGGGAUAACUUCAGGAAACUGGGGCUAAUACCGGAUAGGAGCUCCUGCUGCAUGGUGGGGGUUGGAAAGUUUCGGCGGUUGGGGAUGGACUCGCGGCUGAUCAUCUUGUUGGUGGGGUAGUGGCUUACCAAGGCUUUGACGGGUAGUCGGCCUGAGAGGGUGACCGGCCACAUGGGGACUGAGAUACGGCCCAGACUGCUACGGGAGGCAGCAGUGGGGAAGAUUGCACAAUGGGCGGAAGCCUGAUGCAGCAACGCCGCGUGCGGGAUGACGGCCUUCGGGUUGUAACCCGCUUUCGCCUGUGACGAAGCGUGAGUGACGGUAAUGGGUAAAGAAGCACCGGCUAACUACGUG
rnacentral:rRNA from 1 species